rnacentral:rRNA from 1 species
GUUGUCUCUCUUGAGUGGAUCCUGAGUACGACGGAGCACGUGAAAUUCCGUCGGAAUCUGGGAGGACCAUCUCCUAAGGCUAAAUACUCUCUAGUGACCGAUAGUGAACCAGUACCGUGAGGGAAAGGUGAAAAGCACCCCGGAAGGGGAGUGAAAUAGAACCUGAAACCGUGUGCUUACAAGUAGUCAGAGCCCGUUAAUGGGUGAUGGCGUGCCUUUUGUAGAAUGAACCGGCGAGUUACGAUUUGAUGCAAGGUUAAGCAGUAAAUGUGGAGCCGUAGCGAAAGCGAGUCUGAAUAGGGCGUUUAGUAUUUGGUCGUAGACCCGAAACCAGGUGAUCUACCCUUGGUCAGGUUGAAGUUCAGGUAACACUGAAUGGAGGACCGAACCGACUUACGUUGAAAAGUGAGCGGAUGAACUGAGGGUAGCGGAGAAAUUCCAAUCGAACCUGGAGAUAGCUGGUUCUCUCCGAAAUAGCUUUAGGGCUAGCCUCAAGUGAUGAUUAUUGGAGGUAGAGCACUGUUUGGACGAGGGGCCCCUCUCGGGUUACCGAAUUCAGACAAACUCCGAAUGCCAAUUAAUUUAACUUGGGAGUCAGAACAUGGGUGAUAAGGUCCGUGUUCGAAAGGGAAACAGCCCAGACCACCAGCUAAGGUCCCAAAAUAUAUGUUAAGUGGAAAAGGAUGUGGCGUUGCCCAGACAACUAGGAUGUUGGCUUAGAAGCAGCCAUCAUUUAAAGAGUGCGUAAUAGCUCACUAGUCGAGUGACACUGCGCCGAAAAUGUACCGGGGCUAAACAUAUUACCGAAGCUGUGGAUUGUCCUUUGGACAAUGGUAGGAGAGCGUUCUAAGGGCGUUGAAGCAUGAUCGUAAGGACAUGUGGAGCGCUUAGAAGUGAGAAUGCCGGUGUGAGUAGCGAAAGACGGGUGAGAAUCCCGUCCACCGAUUGACUAAGGUUUCCAGAGGAAGGCUCGUCCGCUCUGGGUUAGUCGGGUCCUAAGCUGAGGCCGACAGGCGUAGGCGAUGGAUAACAGGUUGAUAUUCCUGUACCACCUAUAAUCGUUUUAAUCGAUGGGGGGACGCAGUAGGAUAGGCGAAGCGUGCGAUUGGAUUGCACGUCUAAGCAGUAAGGCUGAGUAUUAGGCAAAUCCGGUACUCGUUAAGGCUGAGCUGUGAUGGGGAGAAGACAUUGUGUCUUCGAGUCGUUGAUUUCACACUGCCGAGAAAAGCCUCUAGAUAGAAAAUAGGUGCCCGUACCGCAAACCGACACAGGUAGUCAAGAUGAGAAUUCUAAGGUGAGCGAGCGAACUCUCGUUAAGGAACUCGGCAAAAUGACCCCGUAACUUCGGGAGAAGGGGUGCUCUUUAGGGUUAACGCCCAGAAGAGCCGCAGUGAAUAGGCCCAAGCGACUGUUUAUCAAAAACACAGGUCUCUGCUAAACCGUAAGGUGAUGUAUAGGGGCUGACGCCUGCCCGGUGCUGGAAGGUUAAGAGGAGUGGUUAGCUUCUGCGAAGCUACGAAUCGAAGCCCCAGUAAACGGCGGCCGUAACUAUAACGGUCCUAAGGUAGCGAAAUUCCUUGUCGGGUAAGUUCCGACCCGCACGAAAGGCGUAACGAUUUGGGCACUGUCUCAACGAGAGACUCGGUGAAAUCAUAGUACCUGUGAAGAUGCAGGUUACCCGCGACAGGACGGAAAGACCCCGUGGAGCUUUACUGUAGCCUGAUAUUGAAAUUCGGCACAGCUUGUACAGGAUAGGUAGGAGCCUUUGAAACGUGAGCGCUAGCUUACGUGGAGGCGCUGGUGGGAUACUACCCUAGCUGUGUUGGCUUUCUAACCCGCACCACUUAUCGUGGUGGGAGACAGUGUCAGGCGGGCAGUUUGACUGGGGCGGUCGCCUCCUAAAAGGUAACGGAGGCGCUCAAAGGUUCCCUCAGAAUGGUUGGAAAUCAUUCAUAGAGUGUAAAGGCAUAAGGGAGCUUGACUGCGAGACCUACAAGUCGAGCAGGGUCGAAAGACGGACUUAGUGAUCCGGUGGUUCCGCAUGGAAGGGCCAUCGCUCAACGGAUAAAAGCUACCCCGGGGAUAACAGGCUUAUCUCCCCCAAGAGUUCACAUCGACGGGGAGGUUUGGCACCUCGAUGUCGGCUCAUCGCAUCCUGGGGCUGUAGUCGGUCCCAAGGGUUGGGCUGUUCGCCCAUUAAAGCGGUACGCGAGCUGGGUUCAGAACGUCGUGAGACAGUUCGGUCCCUAUCCGUCGUGGGCGUAGGAAAUUUGAGAGGAGCUGUCCUUAGUACGAGAGGACCGGGAUGGACAUACCUCUGGUGUACCAGUUGUCGUGCCAACGGCAUAGCUGGGUAGCUAUGUGUGGACGGGAUAAGUGCUGAAAGCAUCUAAGCAUGAAGCCCCCCUCAAGAUGAGAUUUCCCAACUUCGGUUAUAAGAUCCCUCAAAGAUGAUGAGGUUAAUAGGUUCGAGGUGGAAGCAUGGUGACAUGUGGAGCUGACGAAUACUAAUCGAUCGAAGACUUAAUCAA